rnacentral:tRNA from 1 species
AGAUGGGUAGCUCAAUGGGGCAGAGCAGCAGUCUCCAACACUGCGUCGUAGUGGUUCGAGUCCACUCCCAUCUGCCA